AUUGAACGCUGGCGGCAUGCCUUACACAUGCAAGUCGAACGGCAGCACGGAGCUUGCUCUGGUGGCGAGUGGCGAACGGGUGAGUAAUAUAUCGGAACGUACCCUGGAGUGGGGGAUAACGUAGCGAAAGUUACGCUAAUACCGCAUACGAUCUAAGGAUGAAAGUGGGGGAUCGCAAGACCUCAUGCUCGUGGAGCGGCCGAUAUCUGAUUAGCUAGUUGGUAGGGUAAAAGCCUACCAAGGCAUCGAUCAGUAGCUGGUCUGAGAGGACGACCAGCCACACUGGAACUGAGACACGGUCCAGACUCCUACGGGAGGCAGCAGUGGGGAAUCUUGGACAAUGGGCGAAAGCCUGAUCCAGCAAUGCCGCGUGAGUGAAGAAGGCCUUCGGGUUGUAAAGCUCUUUUGUCAGGGAAGAAACGGUGAGAGCUAAUAUCUCUUGCUAAUGACGGUACCUGAAGAAUAAGCACCGGCUAACUACGUGCCAGCAGCCGCGGUAAUACGUAGGGUGCAAGCGUUAAUCGGAAUUACUGGGCGUAAAGCGUGCGCAGGCGGUUUUGUAAGUCUGAUGUGAAAUCCCCGGGCUCAACCUGGGAAUUGCAUUGGAGACUGCAAGGCUAGAAUCUGGCAGAGGGGGGUAGAAUUCCACGUGUAGCAGUGAAAUGCGUAGAUAUGUGGAGGAACACCGAUGGCGAAGGCAGCCCCCUGGGUCAAGAUUGACGCUCAUGCACGAAAGCGUGGGGAGCAAACAGGAUUAGAUACCCUAGUAGUCCACGCCCUAAACGAUGUCUACUAGUUGUCGGGUCUUAAUUGACUUGGUAACGCAGCUAACGCGUGAAGUAGACCGCCUGGGGAGUACGGUCGCAAGAUUAAAACUCAAAGGAAUUGACGGGGACCCGCACAAGCGGUGGAUGAUGUGGAUUAAUUCGAUGCAACGCGAAAAACCUUACCUACCCUUGACAUGGCUGGAAUCCUCGAGAGAUUGAGGAGUGCUCGAAAGAGAACCAGUACACAGGUGCUGCAUGGCUGUCGUCAGCUCGUGUCGUGAGAUGUUGGGUUAAGUCCCGCAACGAGCGCAACCCUUGUCAUUAGUUGCUACGAAAGGGCACUCUAAUGAGACUGCCGGUGACAAACCGGAGGAAGGUGGGGAUGACGUCAAGUCCUCAUGGCCCUUAUGGGUAGGGCUUCACACGUCAUACAAUGGUACAUACAGAGCGCCGCCAACCCGCGAGGGGGAGCUAAUCGCAGAAAGUGUAUCGUAGUCCGGAUUGUAGUCUGCAACUCGACUGCAUGAAGUUGGAAUCGCUAGUAAUCGCGGAUCAGCAUGUCGCGGUGAAUACGUUCCCGGGUCU
rnacentral:rRNA from 1 species